GUAUCAAUUAGUAGAGCUGCAAAGUACAUACGCAUCAUAAUCGAAUAAUACAAUGAACAGGUUGUUUGGAGCUUUCGUUUUGAUUUUCUUUAUAUGUGUCAUUGGAUGUCAAAGCGCUGUCAUAUCUGAUGCCAAUGUACCACCCUAUGGUAAUGAGGCAUCGUCAAGAUUGCAGAAACGAUCAGCGAUGCCUCAUGCGGAUAUACCCAACUGUCACGCUCUCAGACAUGAUGGAAGGUGUGCAACUCAAUUCGGGGGAAUAAGAAGUAGAGGACGCUCCAAUGCCAUGGCAUACAAAGGUGGAAAGACGGUAGAAAAGAAAACUGGUUUUUGGACAAAGGUUGGUGACUGGUUUAAAGGAUAAAACUUCUACAAAUACUUUAUGCUUUUUUGCUGUAGCAGGUUUCUGGAAAUAAAUUUUAUUUCAACACAAAUAAAAUUUGAUAUGCUUAAAUUA
rnacentral:sRNA from 1 species